CAGUGUUUAUCUGUUGCAUAUUUGUUGUUUACCUGUUUAUCUCUGUGUCUUCACUUCACAUUUCCAGACUGCAGACAUUUAGAGCACAACCUCCAGAGCCCAGCUGUGUGUCUAUGAACAGCACUUACUUGAUGAAUCAGCCUCUUUAUUUCAGUAAUGGAAGAAGCAGCUCUGACCUGAGACUGCAGGCAUUCAGAGGAGAAUCUCCAGAGCCCAGCUGUGUGUCUAUGAUUAGCUAUCAUUCCAUGGAGCAGCCUCUUUAUUUCAGUAAUGAAAGAAGCAGCACUGAUCUGAGACUGCAGACAUUCAGAGCAGAACCUCCAGAGCCCAGCUGUGUGUCUUUGAGGAGCAACCACUCGAUGCAGCAGCCUUACAAUUUCAGUAAUGAUAAAUUUACCACUGAGCUGAGACUGCAGACAUUCAGAGCAGAACCUCCAGAGCCCAGCUUUGUGUCUAUGAGGAGCAACCACUCGAUGCAGCAGCCUUACAAUUUCAGUAACAAAAAGCUGAGACUGCAGACAUCCGGAGCAGAACCUCCAGAGCCCAGCUGUGUGUCUAUGAGGAGCAACCAUUCGAUGCAGCAGCCUUACAACUUCAGUAACAUCAAAUGUACCACUGAGCUGAGACAGACAUUAAGAGUAGAACCUCCAGAACCCAGCUGUGUGUCUAUGAGGAGCAACCACUCGAUGCAGCAGCCUUUUAAUUUCAGUAACGAAAGAAGCAGCACUGAGCCGAGAGCAGAACCUCCAGAGCCCAGCUGUGUGUCUUUGAGGAGCAACCACUCGAUGCAGCAGCCUUACAAUUUCAGUAACAACAAAUGUAUCACUGAGCUGAGGUGAGAAACCAGCAUGGGAUGAGAGUGAGUUUAAACAGGGUGUUUUUUGUAGUAAGUCUGUUUUUUUCUUUUUUUUGGUCAUCUCCAAUGAAAAGUACUUUUUAACACUACAUUUUUUCUACCUUCCAGUAAAAAAAAAUCAGGCUGCACAGAAUAUUGUUUAAGCAUUGUCAUCACACAGCAUUCAUGUGAAAUAAUCUUUACAGUACAUUGCAGUAUGUGUGACGCCACGUGAAGCAAAUAAAUAAAAAAUGUUACUCA
rnacentral:lncRNA from 1 species